rnacentral:rRNA from 1 species
CUAGCGACAGGCUUAACACAUGCAAGUCGAGGGGCAGCACAGGUAGCAAUACCGGGUGGCGACCGGCGCACGGGUGAGUAACGCGUAUGCAACUUACCUAUCAGAGGGGGAUAACCCGGCGAAAGUCGGACUAAUACCGCAUGAAGCAGGGGCCCCGCAUGGGGAUAUUUGCUAAAGAUUCAUCGCUGAUAGAUAGGCAUGCGUUCCAUUAGGCAGUUGGCGGGGUAACGGCCCACCAAACCGACGAUGGAUAGGGGUUCUGAGAGGAAGGUCCCCCACAUUGGUACUGAGACACGGACCAAACUCCUACGGGAGGCAGCAGUGAGGAAUAUUGGUCAAUGGCCGAGAGGCUGAACCAGCCAAGUCGCGUGAGGGAUGAAGGUUCUAUGGAUCGUAAACCUCUUUUAUAAGGGAAUAAAGUGCGGGACGUGUCCCGUUUUGUAUGUACCUUAUGAAUAAGGAUCGGCUAACUCCGUGCCAGCAGCCGCGGUAAUACGGAGGAUCCGAGCGUUAUCCGGAUUUAUUGGGUUUAAAGGGUGCGUAGGCGGCCUUUUAAGUCAGCGGUGAAAGUCUGUGGCUCAACCAUAGAAUUGCCGUUGAAACUGGGGGGCUUGAGUAUGUUUGAGGCAGGCGGAAUGCGUGGUGUAGCGGUGAAAUGCAUAGAUAUCACGCAGAACCCCGAUUGCGAAGGCAGCCUGCCAAGCCAUUACUGACGCUGAUGCACGAAAGCGUGGGGAUCAAACAGGAUUAGAUACCCUGGUAGUCCACGCAGUAAACGAUGAUCACUAGCUGUUUGCGAUACACUGUAAGCGGCACAGCGAAAGCGUUAAGUGAUCCACCUGGGGAGUACGCCGGCAACGGUGAAACUCAAAGGAAUUGACGGGGGCCCGCACAAGCGGAGGAACAUGUGGUUUAAUUCGAUGAUACGCGAGGAACCUUACCCGGGUUUGAACGCAUUCGGACCGAGGUGGAAACACCUUUUCUAGCAAUAGCCGUUUGCGAGGUGCUGCAUGGUUGUCGUCAGCUCGUGCCGUGAGGUGUCGGCUUAAGUGCCAUAACGAGCGCAACCCUUGCCACUAGUUACUAACAGGUAAAGCUGAGGACUCUGGUGGGACUGCCAGCGUAAGCUGCGAGGAAGGCGGGGAUGACGUCAAAUCAGCACGGCCCUUACAUCCGGGGCGACACACGUGUUACAAUGGCGUGGACAAAGGGAAGCCACCUGGCGACAGGGAGCGAAUCCCCAAACCACGUCUCAGUUCGGGUCGGAGUCUGCAACCCGACUCCGUGAAGCUGGAUUCGCUAGUAAUCGCGCAUCAGCCAUGGCGCGGUGAAUACGUUCCCGGGCCUUGUACACACCGCCCGUCAAGCCAUGGGAGCCGGGGGUACCUGAAGUCCGUAACCGCGAGGAUCGGCCUAGGGUAAAACUGGUGACUGGGGCUAAGA